UACGGGAGGCAGCAGUGGGGAAUAUUGCACAAUGGGCGCAAGCCUGAUGCAGCCAUGCCGCGUGUGUGAAGAAGGCCUUCGGGUUGUAAAGUACUUUCAGCGGGGAGGAAGGCGGUGAGGUUAAUAACCUCAUCGAUUGACGUUACCCGCAGAAGAAGCACCGGCUAACUCCGUGCCAGCAGCCGCGGUAAUA
rnacentral:rRNA from 1 species